rnacentral:rRNA from 1 species
AUUGAACGCUGGCGGCAUGCCUUACACAUGCAAGUCGAACGGUAACAGGUCUUCGGAUGCUGACGAGUGGCGAACGGGUGAGUAAUACAUCGGAACGUGCCUAGUAGUGGGUGAUAACUACUCGAAAGAGUGGCUAAUACCGCAUGAGAUCUACGGAUGAAAGCAGGGGAUCGCAAGACCUUGUGCUACUAGAGCGGCCGAUGGCAGAUUAGGUAGUUGGUGGGAUAAAAGCUUACCAAGCCGACGAUCUGUAGCUGGUCUGAGAGGACGAUCAGCCACACUGGGACUGAGACACGGCCCAGACUCCUACGGGAGGCAGCAGUGGGGAAUUUUGGACAAUGGGCGAAAGCCUGAUUCAGCAAUGCCGCGUGCAGGAUGAAGGCCUUCGGGUUGUAAACUGCUUUUGUACGGAACGAAAAGCCCUGGGUUAAUACCCUGGGGUCAUGACGGUACCGUAAGAAUAAGCACCGGCUAACUACGUGCCAGCCGCCGCCGUAA